ACAAUGAAAUAAGUUUCAAAAUUUAAAAUUCAAAAAACGGUCCAUCGAAGUGUACGUUUUUCCGAAUGCGGUCCAUUUUGUGUAUUUACCCUUUAAUUUUUUUUUAUUGUUCCAAGGUUUUUCUCU
rnacentral:ribozyme from 1 species